GCGCCCGUAGCUCAACUGGAUAGAGUGACUGACUACGAAUCAGUAGGUUGCUGGUUCGAGCCCAGCCGGGCGCACUA
rnacentral:tRNA from 1 species